rnacentral:lncRNA from 1 species
CCGAAAAGGUCGAGGAACAUCUCCCAUAUCAGUCCAUACAGUCUCCUCAAUAUGCUCCGCCAUAUAGGAGGCUAUCCAAUCAGUAAUAUUGUUGGCCUCAUGGUAGACAUGACUUAUGUUGAUGGACAUACAGGUCAGUCCUCGUCACGCACCAAAUGUCAUAUAGUAAUAGAUGAGCAUUAGUCCCAGGUAAAUAUCUUCAAAAUCAAGCAAUCACGGUAGCCGAAUCCUUCUCCACCACCAGUCUGUCAGCACCA